CAACUUGAGAGUUUGAUCCUGGCUCAGAGCGAACGCUGGCGGCAGGCUUAACACAUGCAAGUCGAGCGG
rfam:Methylobacterium tarhaniae strain DSM 25844 contig_36, whole genome shotgun sequence.